UGCAGUCGAAGGAGAAGGGUUGUGCUUGCACAACCUGGAGACUGGCGCACGGGUGAGUAACGCGUAGACAACCUGCCUAUAGCUGGGGGAUAACCACCGGAAACGGUGGCUAAUACCGCAUAAUGCAGCGGGGCCGCAUGGCCACAGUUGUUAAAGAUUUAUUGGCUAUAGAUGGGUCUGCGUGCCAUUAGUUAGUUGGUAGGGUAACGGCCUACCAAGGCGAUGAUGGCUAGGGGGUCUGAGAGGAUGAUCCCCCACACUGGGACUGAGACACGGCCCAGACUCCUACGGGAGGCAGCAGUGAGGAAUCUUGCGCAAUGGGCGAAAGCCUGACGCAGCCACGCCGCGUGCCGGAAGACGGCCCUAUGGGUUGUAAACGGCUUUUGGUUGGGAAGAACAGUUCCGUUUCGACGGGAUUUGACGGUACCAAUUGAAUCAGCACCGGCUAACUCCGUGCCAGCAGCCGCGGUAAUACGGAGGGUGCAAGCGUUGUCCGGAAUCAUUGGGUGUAAAGGGUGCGCAGGCUGGCAUUUAAGUCUGGGGUGAAAUCUUGCCGCUUAACGGUAAAAUGGCCCUGGAUACUGGAUGUCUUGAAUCUGACAGAGGUCGGUGGAAUUCGUAGUGUAGCGGUGAAAUGCAUAGAUAUUACGAAGAACAUCAGUGGCGAAGGCGGCCGGCUGGGUCAGUAUUGACGCUGAGGCACGAGAGCGUGGGGAGCGAACAGGAUUAGAUACCCUGGUAGUCCACGCUGUAAACGAUGUAUGCUAGUUGUUUGGCCUAUGGGUUCAGUGACGCAGUUAACGCAGUAAGCAUACCACCUGGGGAGUACGUUCGCAAGAAUGAAACUCAAAGGAAUUGACGGGGGCCCGCACAAGCGGUGGAGCAUGUGGCUUAAUUCGAUGCACCGCGAAGAACCCUUACCGGGCU
rnacentral:rRNA from 1 species